rnacentral:piRNA from 1 species
UGAUAAAUCUCAACAGGGGUGGU